UACGUAGGCAGCGAGCGUUGUUCGGAAUUACUGGGCGUAAAGAGUGUGUAGGCGGUGCUCUAAGUUCGGUGUGAAAUCUCCCGGCUUAACUGGGAGGGUGCGCCGGAAACUGGAGUGCUCGAGCGUGGGAGAGGGAAGCGGAAUUCCCGGUGUAGUGGUGAAAUGCGUAGAUAUCGGGAGGAACACCAGUGGCGAAGGCGGCUUUCUGGCCUGUUCUUGACGCUGAGGCGCGAAAGCUAGGGGAGCGAACGGG
rnacentral:rRNA from 1 species